GCGUCCUUAUUUCAAUGGAAAGAAUGUAAAGCUACGAACUUUACGAUCGGGGUUCGAUUCCCUGAGGAUGCACCAAUUAAC
rnacentral:tRNA from 1 species